CGCCCGGUCCCAUCCCGAACCCGGAAGCUAAGCCCACCAGCGCCGAUGGUACUGCACUCGUGAGGGUGUGGGAGAGUAGGACGCCGCCGGAC
rnacentral:rRNA from 1 species